rnacentral:rRNA from 1 species
AGAGUUUGAUCCUGGCUCAGGAUGAACGCUGGCGGCGUGCCUAAUACAUGCAAGUCGAACGGAGAGAGGAGAUUUCGGUUGAAUCUCUUAGUGGCGAACGGGUGAGUAACGCGUUGGUGACCUGCCCCGAAGAGGGGGAUAACAGCUCGAAAGGGCUGCUAAUACCCCAUGAGAUCUACCUGGUUAGAGUGGGUAGAUGAAAGGAGAGAUCCGCUUUGGGAGGGGCCUGCGUCCCAUCAGCUAGUUGGUAAGGUAAAGGCUUACCAAGGCGAAGACGGGUAGGGGGCCUGAGAGGGUGACCCCCCACACUGGCACUGAAACACGGGCCAGACACCUACGGGUGGCAGCAGUAGGGAAUAUUGCACAAUGGGCGAAAGCCUGAUGCAGCAACGCCGCGUGCGCGAUGACGGCCUUCGGGUUGUAAAGCGCUUUUCGGGGAGAUGAGGAAGGACAGUAUCCCCGGAAUAAGGCUCGGCUAACUACGUGCCAGCAGCCGCGGUAA